GUGGGGAAUAUUGGGCAAUGGGCGAAAGCCUGACCCAGCAACGCCGCGUGAGGGAAGAAGGCUUUCGGGUUGUAAACCUCUGUCGCAGGGGACGAAAGAAAUGACGGUACCCUGUGAGGAAGCCCCGGCUAACUACGUGCCAGCAGCCGCGGUAAUACGUAGGGGGCGAGCGUUGUCCGGAAUUACUGGGCGUAAAGGGUGCGUAGGCGGCGAAUUAAGUUGGAUGUGAAAUCCCCGGGCUUAACCUGGGUGGUGCAUCCAAAACUGAUUAGCUAGAGUGCAGGAGAGGGAAGCGGAAUUCCUAGUGUAGCGGUGAAAUGCGUAGAUAUUAGGAGGAACACCAGUGGCGAAGGCGGCUUUCUGGACUGUAACUGACGCUGAGGCACGAAAGCGUGGGGAGCAAACAGGAUUAGAUACCCUGGUAGUCC
rnacentral:rRNA from 1 species